GUAUAUGGCCAUACCACCCUGAACAUGCCUGAUCUCACCUGAUCUCGUAAGCUAAGCAGGAUUGGGCUUCCUUAGUACUAGCCGGGCACAGUGGCUCAUGCC
ensembl:rRNA 5S_rRNA 5S ribosomal RNA